GAUGAACGCUGGCGGCGUGCAUAACACAUUCAAGUCGAACGAAUUUGAUUAAAUUAAUCCUUCGGGAAGCGUUUGAUCAAGUUAGUGGCGGACGGGUGAGUAACGCGUGAGCAACCUGCCUAUGAUAGAGGGAUAACACAUGGAAACGUGUGCUAAUACCGCAUGACUCAACGAGGUCGCAUGGCCUUGUUGUUAAAGGGAAACCGAUCAUAGAUGGGCUCGCGUAUGAUUAGGUAGUUGGUGAGGUAACGGCUCACCAAGCCGACGAUCAUUAGCCGAACUGAGAGGUUGAACGGCCACAUUGGAACUGAGAAACGGUCCAGACUCCUACGGGAGGCAGCAGUGGGGAAUAUUGGGCAAUGGGCGAAAGCCUGACCCAGCGACGCCGCGUGAGGGAAGAAGAUCUUCGGAUUGUAAACCUUAGUCAACAGGGAAGAAGAAAGUGACGGUACCUGUGGAGGAAGCCACGGCUAACUACGUGCCAGCAG
rnacentral:rRNA from 1 species